AUGACGUCCUGCCCUGCGCUGCCGCGGCCGCCAUGGCGGAGGAGGAGCGGGCGCUGCUGGGCCCCGCCGGCCGCCAGGAAGAUGGCGGUGGCUCGGCGGCAGCCCCCAGCGUCCUGCCCGCCGCCUGCGACCCGCGGCGCUUGGCGCACCGCCUGCUCGUCCUCUCGCUCAUGUGCUUCCUGGGCUUCGGCAGCUACUUCUGCUACGACAACCCGGCGGCGCUGCAGACGCAGGUGCAGCGGGACAUGAAGGUGAACACAGCUCAGUUCAUGGCACUCUAUGCUUGGUAUUCCUGGCCCAACGUGGUGCUUUGCUUCUUCGGAGGUUUUCUGAUAGACAGAGUUUUUGGAAUACGGUUGGGCACUAUAAUAUUUAGUAUCUUUGUUUGUGUUGGGCAGGUAAUUUUUGCUUUGGGAGCAAUACUUAAUACUUUCUGGCUGAUGGAUGUGGGCAGAUUCAUAUUUGGAAUAGGUGGAGAGUCCUUAGCAGUGGCACAGAACACCUAUGCGGUCAGUUGGUUUAAAGGCAAGGAGUUAAAUCUUGUGUUUGGAUUACAGCUAAGCAUGGCCAGAAUUGGGAGCACAGUGAACAUGAAUAUCAUGGGAUGGAUAUACUCAAGAGUUCAAGAUCUUCUGGGGUAUACUGGUCCCAGUACUCUUGGGUUAACUCUCAUGAUAGGUGGUGUAACAUGUCUCUUCUCACUGACCUGUGCGCUAAUCCUUGCUUACCUGGACAAGAGAGCAGAGAAGCUCCGUUGUAAAGAGCAAGGGAAAACGGGUGAAGUGAUUAAACUAACAGAUGUGAAGGACUUCUCUUUGUCCUUGUGGCUUAUAUUUGUAAUCUGUGUCUGUUACUAUGCAGCAGUUUUUCCUUUCAUUGGACUUGGAAAGGUUUUCUUUAUUGAGAAAUUCAAAUUCUCGUCCCAAGAAGCAAGUGCAAUUAACAGUAUUGUGUAUAUCAUAUCAGCACCCAUGUCCCCAGUCUUUGGACUCCUGGUGGAUAAACUUGGAAAGAAUAUCAUCUGGGUUCUAUGUGCUGUAGUGACUACACUUGCCUCUCAUAUUAUGUUGGCUUUUACCUUCUGGAACCCCUGGAUAGCAAUGUGUUUGCUAGGAUUGGCCUACUCAUUGCUUGCCUGUGCCCUGUGGCCCAUGGUGGCCUUUGUGGUUCCAGAACACCAGCUGGGAACUGCUUAUGGCUUUAUGCAGUCUAUCCAGAAUCUCGGUCUGGCAAUUAUUGCUAUAGCUGCUGGGAUGAUUUUGGACACAAGAGGUUACUUGUUUCUUGAAGUCUUCUUCAGUGCUUGUGUUUGCUUGUCACUAAUAGCUGUAGUCAUGCUGUAUUUUGUGAAUCACCUCACAGGUGGUGAUCUCAACUGGUCUGCAAAGAAACGUGAAAAACUGCAGAAAGCAGCUGAAACUGAAGCAGAAGAACAAGAGAGGCUCAGACGUCAAAAUGAAGAUGACUUGGCUAAAUUACGGCCAAAAGCUGAUGACUUUAGUUUAAGGAAUAAAUACCUCUCCAAACUAGGCGCUCAGCUACCAGAUAAUUACUCUUCCUGUUUAUCGACAAUGACACACAGAAGCAUGUUGAAAUAGCAUCUUGCCCCACUUGCAAAAGCAGAAAUACGCUGAAGUUCCUGGUACACAAAGCUCUGUUUCCAGUACUGACAACUACCACAGCAAAACAAAAGCAGAAUGAUGCACCAUACUUUUCUGGGAAAGCCAGGUAAAUUCUGUGUGUGGCCACCUGAGCCAGAACUGCUGAAGAGUUUUCUCCUGGCAGAACCAUGAUGUCCAUGUUCUGCAACACGACCCCCUCGGAGCAUCUUGGUCUGAGCUGCGGGCUCCUGUGUCCCUUACUGCAAACCCCCUCCAGGCACCCACUGGCCCCUGAGUGUGGAAAAGGGGUUUAGCCCUCACUAGUUAUCCACUUGCACGAUGUAUUAUGCCUGACUGUUCCAUUUCCCCUGCUAUUGAGUGGUAGAUGGUGGAUUAGAACCUUCAGCCAACAAGAGAGGCUGCGUGGGAACGUAAUGGGAUCUCGCAUCAUUUUUAAUGGUCUUACUGAGAUUGCAGAUUCUUUGGGUUAGUUCCUUUUGCAGGGGUUGUGAAGAGCCUGGGAAUAUGCCCUUUUGGUACACAAACGGGCUUGCUGAGUGAAAGCACCACAUAAAAAGAUGACAAAAGGAGCAGAUGAUCUAUGGCCCGGUUUCCCUUCUGCGUAGAGCGUGCAGUGGUGUCGUUUACCAUUCAUCACCCUAAGGACAAACUCUAGCAUUGACAGAGGCCGGAGGAGGUUGUACUUUCGGCUUCCAGAUGAUUGCAGUUUCUCCUGUGGAUGUGUGCAAGACCCAGUGAUGCUCAUGGAGAGGGGGAGCGCGUUCUGCAGCCGCUCUGUACACCACGCUGCUCUUGAUCCCUUGUGCUGACCGCUGCAAGCAAGACGAAAGAUAGUCCUUGCUUCAAACAACUGCAUCUCUCCAACAACUGGCAUGAAAUUCCUGAAGAAAAUAUAUAUGGAACAAUUACGACGGUCCAUUUAAACGGUACAGAAAAUGAAGCAGAUUUAAGGAGAAACCUUAAAACAGCCUACUUGCUUCAGGUAUCACAAGGGAUCUUUUUUUGGAAGAGCGUAUAGCCAUCAUUUGUUUGAAGUGGGAACAGUACAAAUGGGCUGCACACUGAUCUUUGUCCGAGUGGGAAUGAGCUCCUGACCACAUCUCAUUCGUCAUCCCAAAACCCCACCGGUGUCUGGGAGGCUCAUCAGUCUGAAGAUAAGUUGCUGCCUCUGCGUUUCUCAUGGCUCCGACACGCUUGCAGUUCACUCUGUUCAGCAAGAUAAACCUGUUGUAAGUGAAAUGAAGGAGGCGGUGCAUGAAAGGACCCGGGGCGCCUUUGCACGUUGGUCUUGUAACGGUUGUGUUCCCCGAAGCAGAGUGUGUGGAGAGGGCAGAGGAAUCUGUGGCUUCCAAUAAAACCCCACUCCAGCUAAAAGAACCCCAAACAUACAAAUGACAGCUGUCACGCUAUCGCAGAAACCAUGUACUGAAUCUGAAAAUACCCAACGCAGCUAAAAUGCUGGAAGAAAUUUUACAAACCGUUAGAGAGAAUGAAAUAGUUGGGUUCCUUCCAUGCUGGUGGUUGAAAUUCAUUGCAACUGUGCUCAUAUUAGUAGCUUCAGUGACAUACAGUGAAUGCAUGCUAAUUUUAACCUUCCAUCUGGAAACAUCGCUGGUUAAGUGGAAGUGUCCUCAUCAGACUUUAUUUCAAUAGGAAGGUACUUGAGGCUUUUGGGAACUUCAGAUUUGAAAUGACAUGUGCAGAGCAGCUGAAAACCAUUUAUUAAAGCAGUAUUGAUGUGCACGUUUUAGACUUACGGCUUUACCUAUGGAGCUGGAGGUCUGCAAAGCCAGGUGCAGAGGAAUGUUCCUCUGUACGUCUGCUGAUCACUUUUAUUAUUUGUGACAACCUGGUAUGUCCCCAGAGGUCACGAAAUAUGAAUCCCCUUCAAUGGGUUCCCAUCGAGGACAGUCAUGAAGAAGGAUUCUUCUCGACUCAACACAUUUUUUUUCCAAAACCCCUGAUGCGUUUUGACUCAGCAGGACUGGAUUACAACCCACACCUCUUGGUUAUGAGUAUGUGGGGAAGGGACAUGAAACAUGCAAGGUGAAUUCUGCAAGAAGCUACCGAAACCCUGGAGCCGGGGAUCACAGCGGAGCCUGUGAGGCCUCCCCUCCUGACCAGAAUACACCUGCAAGCUAAGUUUGAUUUACUUGCCCUUUCUUUCUGAGGGACGUGUGGGUUUCUGCUCUCCCCCCGGCCGGUGUGGUGGCCACACGCAAGCCAGCCCCGUGCUUGGCUUUGCUGGCUGCAGAGGGCACUGACGUCUUUCAGUGCAAGCCACUGGCCUGGCCUAAUUAGCCACAACCUAAUAAAGAGACGUUUUGACAUGCGGGGAAGCAAACAUCGGUUUUGUGCAGUGAGAAACGUUUAUGAUGGAAAAACUGUUCUUUUGCUUGGUGUGCACGCUCGGCAGCAGUAAAUCUGACCGUCACUUGUAACAGGGGCUUACUUAAUGGCACCUUCUUCUACCACCCGCUCCCCUUCCACUCCUCAGAACCGUUGGAGAAGAGGCUCAAUAACAUAAACUCUCCCCAAACUGGUGGGUAUCGCCUGUGCCACACUGCCUGUCAGCCCGGCACAGCCCCCAGCUCCUGCCUGUCUCCUGCCUGCAGGCAAGAACUAUCGAUUAGCUCACUGCUGUUAACUAAGCACAUGCAAGAUGGAAAAUGCUAGCUUUAUUUUAAUGAAUGCCUUUAAGUGCUUUUGGUAACGCUGACAUACAUAUAUAUAUAUAUUAUUUUUUUUUUUUUCUUAUAAGGGUCCAUGAUACUGCAGAAUCUCCUGGGGUUAAUACAGUUUAAAAACACAACUGAGCUGGGUAAUAGUAUUUAAAAUAAUCCAAACACUGCUGUUUUAUAUGUGAAGUUGCCUCUGGCUUUGUUCCAGUAUAAACCUACCUGGCUAUUAACUCUGCCAUGACUGAUGUGAUCCUUAUUUUUCAAGGAUGCAUUAAGGGGAGCUGUGAUUGAAAGAUGGCAUAAAAAUUAUGUGGUGUUACUGCUGAGAUAUCUCUGAUUAUAGCUGCCUUUUACAUCUUCUGUAAAUUUCUGUGUUUGCUGUGUUAUUUCACUGCAAGGGUUUGUAAGUAUUAAAUUAAUUUGGCGGCAUGAGGUUCUAAGAAGCAGAAGAUAUUUGUGUGCCAAGAAAAACGGUAAACACAACCUUAUCUGAACUUGAUCUCCUCCUGGGGAGCCUUGUUCCUGCAGUAGGUGAGUAGCUCGAGGAAAGGACCUAAUUCAGGGUGCAGUUGUGGGACUGUUGACUGAUGGCAAGAGGAGACGUUACAGCAGAAAUGGAUUUGCUUUAGAUAAAGUUAAUUUUUCCUUCCAUGGUUUCCCUGAAAACCUAGACUUCAUCCGUAGGGUGUCGCAGAACAUACAUCUGUGCGUGCGUAUCCACCGCCUGGUUUGUUUAGCUGCUUCUGCGGGGUCUGCCUCUCCUCCGAUGGCUAGGAUGUGGAGCAGCACCAGGAGGGUUUUAGUUUAUUUAAGAUGCAAAUGAUGGAGGUCACUCAGGUGUUCGUAAAUGGCUUUCUGGCUAACCCCAGGGCUGUCACAGCCUGCUUCAGAAGGGGCACAUCAAGUAAGAGGUGAAGGUUGGAACUGUGUAAUUGAAAAAUAAGGCCAACAGAGCAUCUGGUUUGCUUUUUGCUGCAGCACGAGACUUCGCCUCUACCUUGCUAAAUAGCUCUUAAGAGAGAUUAUCAUUAAAAUCUGGCAGUGACUCAAUUGGAGUACAUCUGUGCAAUGUGAAAUCAAAUCUUUAUUUGAGUAUGGAACACUUGGAUCAGCUGACUGCCCGGUUUGUAGGUUUAAAAAAAAAAGGGGGGUGGGGGGGGUGGGAAGGAAAUAUAUAGAAACAGUAUUAAAUAAACCCCCUUCUCAGUGCAAAGCUGGAAUGAUGAAGGUCACUACAGCAAUUCCUCCUCUGGUGAGCGACCAGGUCCCCAGCUCUGCCUCCUGUUCACCCUCGCACCCCUGGGAACUGGCUCAGGAAUUGCAGAAUUGGUGUAAGGCGGUUUUUCCUGCUGCUGGGACAUGCAGAAAUAUAGCCCUGCUACAGAAAGCCAUCACCGUGGCGCUGCCUCUGCCCAGGGCAGGAUGCUCGCAGCCACGAGAGGGGGGCCAGCACUGAAGCAGGGUGGCCGAGCCCCAGGAAUUAACAGAUGAAUACAGCAAACAAUACUACUAGUGGGAUAUAGGACAGAGAAACAGAAUGGAUUAUUAACUAGUCUGUGUUUGAAUGAGAUGCAUUUUAUUGCCCUUGCAUGUUCUGUUCAGCAGAAAUUCUUCUUACAGUAAGGGACAUGGCUUAGUGGUUGACUUGGCAGUGUUAGGUUUGUGGUUGGACUCAAUCUUAAGGGUCUUUUCCAACCUAAAUGAUUCUAUGAUUCUCUGAAAUCAACUGAGGUAUUGACUGUGACUGUUAGUUCUUACAUUGCUGGAUCCAGCAACUGUACUUAAAACAAUUCAACAAAUUAUUAUUUUGAAUGAAGAAUUAUUGUCUGAUGGAGAACAUAAAUGAUUUUUUUGCUGAUCACAAUGCCAGAACUUGGGUAUUUGGAAUCAAAAAUGUUUGCUUGGGAAAUGUCAAAGCUGCUGCCUUCUGAAUUGUGUGCCUAGAGGAACAGCAAUGCCCUUGGCGUGAAAGGCUUUGUGGCACGGUGGUUGGCGUGGUUGUGCCCUGUGGGGUUAGAGACCAGAAUCAUGCCUUCGCGUCUUCUGGCCCAUCAGAGCUCAUAGGCAGGUGCCAAUGGAAAGCGGUGACCGCUGGCAGAGAGCUAGCCAUGAUCAUCCUGGCAGUGAUCUUUUCUUGGGGUUGAUCCUGUGUCUUUGCCUUUGCUAGUCUUCAUGUUCGGUGAAAAUGGAGGGGAAAAAAAUCAGCCCAGCAGUAAACGGCUGAACAGAAAACAGUGGAAUACAUUUUUUUCUGUACACACAUACACUAAAUAUUUAAAUUAAAAAAUCCCCUUUUUAGAUAUUGCAUACUUUUUUCUGUAAGUAAUGUUUUUUCCAGUCAUCUCAAUUCAAGUGUAUUAAAUACAGUCCCAGUAGUAACUGUUCUUCUGCAUAAUAGCAAUCUGAAGAAGCUAACAUGCUUGCAACUAUUUUUUCCAGCAGAAAUAAACCAGAAUUUUGUGGAUAGUGAAAGUGAUGAACUUGAUGUGUGCAAUGAGGCAGAAUGUUUUGAUUUUUUUUUUAGAUAGUUACUCAUUUAGUAGUUGAAAACAAGAAAUGAUGGAUGAACAGUACUGUUUUUGAAUAAAUAUUAUUCUGUUUCCCUCAGUAAUUCUUGACCUGUACGCAAAAUUUCUUGUUAGAAAGAUUAGGUCAUUAAUUACAUUAAAAAGUCCCAUUACAUGUCCUGCCAUUAAAGAAGAAAUUUCUGGGAACGGAGAAGCUUGGAAGUAGUGGUUUUAAUUUCCACCACAGCUUUAAUGCUUCAUGAAAGACUUGCUUUUUGUCACCAGAAGACGGAGGGUGCCCUUUGCUAUGGAGCGUGCAGCCAGCUGUGGGCUCUGUGUGGAGCUGGGCCCUGCCGCCAUUGCACCGCGCUGGCACGGCGGGAGCUGCCGCCAUUGCACCGCGCUGGCACGGCGGGAGCUGCCGCCAUUGCACCGCGCUGGCACGGCAGGAGCUGCCGCCAUUGCACCGCGCUGGCACGGCGGGCCCUGCCCCGCACAGCCGUGUUCCCACUUCGUCGCAGCCGGCGGUGAGGAAGGGUGCAGCUGCCUGGCCUGCAGAGAGGCAUGGCUGUGGCUCCCGCAGGUUGUGCCGGGCUCCUGGGAAGGCACUGGAAACACCAGUGGUUCCUCCAGGGCAUGGGCUUCAGCCAGGCCAUGGUGCUGCGCGUGAGGGAGGCUGGUGGGUGUGCGGGGCAGGCGUGGUGGGACGUGCCAGCCGUGCUCUUCACGCCAAGCAGUGCCACGCUUGGCCCCGGCUGCAGUCAGCGCUCGUGGCAGUGUGCUGUAGGCCGCCGUUUGCCUGCCGUUGGCCGUAAAAAAGACGUGUUUGAAGGGGUGUCUCUGUGCAAUGGAGCUGCGAAUGUCACACGGGCUAUCAUGCUGGUCGGUGUGAUGCUUUUAGGAAGAGUUGUGCACGUAUUUUGGCAUCAGUUUCAGGAGAUCAAACCCUGUGCAAACAUUCCCUGGCAUUUUCUCCUUCACCAGUAAGGACAUGAGUUUCCUUUUGAGGCUCCCCAGGACUCUGAAAGCUUUAAUGUCCAUUAAAAAUGCACGCUUUUAGAUUCCUGCUUCAUCACCCUGUCAGCUGCUGUUGAGCUGCCGUGGGGAAGGGGAGGGGUGGUUUUGCUGUGUGUCAAGCAGCCGGCUAAAGAUGCCUCGGCUCUGCGGGGGGUGCUCAGAAUGAAGGCUUUGCAGCGCGGCACUAAUCGCUUCGGGAGGCAAGAUUGACUACUCUUCAGCUGGGAGGGAAAAUUAUAAAUACAGAUAUCGGAGCAAACACAUUUUUGAUGACAGAGGCUUUAAGACCCCUGAGAGGCGAGAGAUCCAAGUCAUGAUAGGUGCACCUCAUCUCUAAAAUUAAUUGAAGGUCAAAUGAGAGGGAAGGCUAAUGUCUGUGGAGUCCUUGGUGUGACAUAUUGUUGCUGAAUUCCUGGGAAACAUGUGGCACCAUCUUAAUAGUGAGCUUCCAAAAAAGCUAGAAGUGUUAGAUUCAGAAAGAAAAAAAAAAAAAAAGAGAUAAGAAA